rnacentral:lncRNA from 1 species
GCCGGCUCGGAUCCAAAGGGGAGGCGGAGCUGGGCCUCGGGCAGCUCACGGUAGGGCCAAGCUGCUGGCGGCUGGGCCAGAGGGCGAUGCGGGCCGGCGGGGCCGAGCUGGAGGCCCACGCACGGGCGAGCGAACUGCUGGAGCCUCGUGGCCCUCCCGUGCUCCUCAUGGGUAGGAACCAAGGAGGCGGUGGCGGCGAAGCUACCCAGGCGAGGUGAGGUUGUCUGGCCAUUGGGGCUGCCGGGAAUGGGGCGGGGGCGAACGGAUCUGCGGGUUGGGAGCCCAGAUCUGGCCGGCGGCGAACUACCUCGGCGGCAGGGAAGAGAUCCGGCGGCGGGAGGAGCUGUGGCCCAGGGUAGGUCGCAGGAGGAGAGAGCUUCGUCUUGGGGUGCGGCGGAUGGCAGGCACCGG